CUUGGCUCUCGGAGGCGAUGAAGGACGUGAUAAGCUGCGAUAAGCUUCGGGUAGGUGCAAAUGACCUUUGAUCCGAAGAUUUCCGAAUGGGACAACCCGGCAUUCUGAAGGAAUGUCAUCCAACUUGGUUGGAGGCUAACGCAGGGAACUGAAACAUCUUAGUACCUGCAGGAAAAGAAAAUAAAUAAUGAUUCCCCUAGUAGUGGCGAGCGAACGGGGAUUAGCCCAAACCACCCAUGUUACGGCAUGUGUGGGGUUGUAGGACCACGCUCUCGCAAGACAGUUAUUGAGAAGAAACGACUGGAAAGUCGUGCCAUAGACGGUGAUAGCCCGGUAUUCUAAGGUAACCGAAGCGUAGUGGUAUCCUGAGUAGCGCGGAGCACGAGGAAUUCUGCGUGAAUCAGCCGGGACCAUCCGGUAAGGCUAAAUACUCCCGAGAGACCGAUAGCGAACCAGUACUGUGAAGGAAAGGUGAAAAGCACUUCGAAUAGAAGAGUGAAAUAGUCCCUGAAACCAUGCGCCUACAAGCGGUCGGAGCAGCUU
rnacentral:rRNA from 1 species